rnacentral:rRNA from 1 species
CNUUCGGGUGCUAAAGCUCUGUCCUAAAGGAAGAAUUUUGACGGUACUUUAGGAGAAGCCCCGGCUAAUUACGUGCCAGCAGCCGCGGUAAUACGUAAGGGGCUAGCGUUAUCCGGAAUUACUGGGCGUAAAGGGUACGUAGGCGGUUUAUUAAGUCAGGGGUGAGAGGCUACGGCUCAACCGUAGUAAGCCUUUGAAACUGAUAAACUUGAGUAUGGUAGAGGAAAGUGGAAUUCCUGGUGUAGCGGUGAAAUGCGUAGAUAUCAGGAGGAACAUCGAUGGCGAAGGCAGCUUUCUGGGCCAUUACUGACGCUGAGGUACGAAAGCGUGGGGAGCGAACAGGAUUAGAUACCCUGGUAGUCCACGCCGUAAACGAUGAGUGCUAGGUGUUGGGGGUCGAACCUCGGUGCCGCAGUUAACGCAUUAAGCANUCCGCCUGGGGAGGACGGU